rnacentral:rRNA from 1 species
UACAGAGGUCCCGAGCGUUGUUCGGAUUCAUUGGGCGUAAAGGGUGCGCAGGCGGCCGUGUGUGUGAGGCGUGAAAGCCCGGGGCUUAACCCCGGAAUUGCACCUCAAACUACACGGCUAGAGCAUUGGAGAGGGUAGCGGAAUUCACGGUGUAGCAGUGAAAUGCGUAGAUAUCGUGAGGAACACCAGAGGCGAAGGCGGCUACCUGGACAAUUGCUGACGCUCAGGCACGAAAGCGUGGGGAGCAAAAGGG